AAAAAGCAUCUGCUUUGUACUCCCCACACAACCCAACAUAAGCAAGAAAUAAUACCUCAUUUUUCAGUUCCAUGUCCAUUGCUGCUUUAUUUGUUGUUGUAAAAUUUUGCCUUUCUCCGACUUUUUGUUUCGGAGUGUCUAUAACUGGUACUUUUGUUAAUUUAUUUUGUUUCAUCUUAUUUACUUCAACUUUUUGCUCUUUGUGGGGGUAGUUGUACGAUCAUCUGUCUGUUCAGCACUCGAAGCCCAAUAAAUAUUGCUCUUUUAUUGGCUUUCUUUUUUUUUUCUUCGUUUCUUCGUAUUGAGGAGUCAAAACGAUUCUGUUU
rnacentral:lncRNA from 1 species